rnacentral:rRNA from 1 species
UAAGGCCCUUUCGGGGGUACACGAGCGGCGAACGGGUGAGUAACACGUGAGUUAUCUGCCCUUCACUUCGGGAUAAGCCUCGGAAACGGGGUCUAAUACCGGAUACGACACUUUACGCAUGUAAUGGGUGUGGAAAGUUUUUUCGGUGGGGGAUGUGCUCGCGGCCUAUCAGCUUGUUGGUGGGGUAAUGGCCUACCAAGGCUUCGACGGGUAGCCGGCCUGGGAGGGUGACCGGCCACACUGGGACUGAGACACGGCCCAGACUCCUACGGGAGGCAGCAGUGGGGAAUAUUGGACAAUGGGCGGAAGCCUGAUCCAGCAACGCCGCGUGAGGGAUGACGGCCUUCGGGUUGUAAACCUCUUUCAGCGGGGACGAAGCGCAAGUGACGGUACCCGCAGAAGAAGCACCGGCCAACUACGUGCCAGCAGCCGCGGUAAUACGUAGGGUGCGAGCGUUGUCCGGAAUUAUUGGGCGUAAAGGGCUCGUAGGCGGUUUGUCGCGUCGGGAGUGAAAACGCCGGGCUUAACUCGGUGCUUGCUUUCGAUACGGGCAGACUAGAGGCAUGCAGGGGAGAACGGAAUUCCUGGUGUAGCGGUGAAAUGCGCAGAUAUCAGGAGGAACACCGGUGGCGAAGGCGGUUCUCUGGGCAUGUCCUGACGCUGAGGAGCGAAAGUGUGGGGAGCGAACAGGAUUAGAUACCCUGGUAGUCCACACCGUAAACGUUGGGCGCUAGGUGUGGGAUCCAUUCCACGGGUUCCGUGCC